CCUACGGGAUGCAGCAGUGGGGAAUAUUGCACAAUGGGCGAAACCCUGAUGCAGCGACGCCGCGUGAGUGAAGCAGUAUUUCUGUAUGUAAAGCUCUAUCAGCAGGGAAGAAGAAAGACGGUACCUGACUAAGAAGCCCCGGCUAACUACGUGCCAGCAGCCGCGGUAAUACGUAGGGGGCAAGCGUUAUCCGGAUUUACUGGGUGUAAAGGGAUCGUAGACGGUCUGGCAAGUCUGAGGUGAAAGCCCAGGGCUUAACCCUGAGACUGCUUUGGAAACUGGUAGACUAGAGUGCUGGAGAGGUAAGUGGAAUGCCUAGUGUAGCGGUGAAAUGCGUAGAUAUUAGGAGGAACACCAGUGGCGAAGGCGGCUUACUGGACAGUAACUGACGUUGAGGCUCGAAAGCGUGGGGAGCAAACAGGAUUAGAUACCCUAGUAGUC
rnacentral:rRNA from 1 species